GUCUCGAUCUGCUGAGGGCAGAUAUAAUGCACAUGUGUAUCGAUAGCACCAGCAGUAACGAUCAGGCCUUCAGCAGAAAGAACUUCAGUACCUGUUCCGAUAACAAGUUUAGGAUCUACACCAUCCUGAGUAUCGGGAUUACCGGCUUUACCAAUUCCAACGAUCUUACCAUCUUUAAUACCUAUAUCAGCCUUUACGAUACCUGUAUAAUCGAUGAUGAUAGCAUUGGUAAGGCAGAAAUCCAAAGCACCGGCCUUGUUGGUCAUACCGACCUUCUGGCCCAUACCAUCACG
rnacentral:sRNA from 1 species